UCUCCCCCUUUCUUCCCUUCCUUUCUCUCUUAGUUUCUUUCAAGAUUCAUAGGAGGAAGUUCUCUCAGUUGAGGGGAAUGUUGUCUGGCUCGAGGUCACCAACUAGAUCCAUAAGCUCCACUUUAUGCUUAUUUGAACAUAAAGAUUAGUUUUGUAAUAUAAAGAUUCGUUGAUUAUAUGAAAAGGGGUUAUGGAUCAUGAGUUAGUGUUGUCGGACCAGGCUUCAUUCCCCCCAAUUGUUACUUCCUCUCUUGACAAAAAUCAAAGCUUUGAAAUGAGACGAGUUUUGGCUUCUGAAAAAGGUAAGUUUUAUUUAUAAGAUCUUGAUAUAUAUGAGACGAGUUUUAGCUUUUGUAUGUUGUGAGUUCAGGUAAUAUUGGACAAGAGCAGAUUGGUGUAAUGAUGAUGAAUUUUGACUCAUUUCACUUUCCUGCCACGACAUGGGAAUGACUCUUGAAAAACCUGAUGGCCGGAGAUUGUAUAACUUACAUUAUAUUGUGUACACACAUAUGCUAAUAAAGUUUCUUCACAUGAACAAGAAGCUACAUUCCUCGUUUCUGUUUCACUUUUUGGGUUAAAACUUAUACGAGUGUGAAUGAAUAUAUUCAUUCUAAGCUUUUUGUAAAGCUGGCGUAAGAUUUUCUAUUUCCUGAAGAAUGAUCAGAGAAUAAUCUUUCAAAUGUCUAUACUCUUUAUCAUGGAGUAAGUUGUGAAUGAGAAGCAAACUACGUUGGCAGACUCUCCAAAACAGAUGCCACAUCCGCAUUCGGAUCCUAUAGAAAUGCAAAAUGCACCUACUAUAUUUUUGAAAUUGUUUACCAUAUUUUCUUAAUAUUUACAUGUGACAGUGAAUUAUUGUUUACCCCUAUACAUUACAAACCGUAAAGUUACUAUACCAGAGUGAUUUUCGUUAACAAGAAUAGUGUUGUAUAAUCAAUAUCAACCCUCUUUGAUGUGAAAAGAAGCUAAGGGCCUGUCGUUGUUGUACAAUUACAUAAUGGAUCUGUGGAUGAACUGGAUUCAACAUUGCAUAUGGCACUUUGGAAAUUGAAGCUGAA